AAUCCAUAGGUUAAUGAGGCGAACCGGGGGAACUGAAACAUCUAAGUACCCCGAGGAAAAGAAAUCAACCGAGAUUCCCCCAGUAGCGGCGAGCGAACGGGGAGGAGCCCAGAGCCUGAAUCAGCAUGUGUGUUAGUGGAAGCGUCUGGAAAGGCGCGCGAUACAGGGUGACAGCCCCGUACACAAAAGCGCAUGUGCUGUGAGCUCGAUGAGUAGGGCGGGACACGUGGUAUCCUGUCUGAAUAUGGGGGGACCAUCCUCCAAGGCUAAAUACUCCUGACUGACCGAUAGUGAACCAGUACCGUGAGGGAAAGGCGAAAAGAACCCCGGCGAGGGGAGUGAAAAAGAACCUGAAACCGUGUACGUACAAGCAGUGGGAGCACCCUUCGGGGUGUGACUGCGUACCUUUUGUAUAAUGGGUCAGCGACUUAUAUUCUGUAGCAAGGUUAACC
rnacentral:rRNA from 1 species